rnacentral:rRNA from 1 species
UACAGAGGUCUCAAGCGUUUGUUCGGAUUCAUUGGGCGUAAAGGGUGCGUAGGUGGCGCUGUAAGUCAGGUGUGAAAUUUCGGAGCUUAACUCCGAAACUGCAUUUGAUACUGCGGUGCUUGAGGACUGGAGAGGAGACUGGAAUUUACGGUGUAGCAGUGAAAUGCGUAGAGAUCGUAAGGAAGACCAGUGGCGAAGGCGGGUCUCUGGACAGUUCCUGACAGCUGAGGCACGGAAGGCCAGGGAAGCAAAACGGG